rnacentral:lncRNA from 1 species
GAGGGCCUGAUGCAGGUGCCCCUCCCCCUCCAGCUCUGCCUGAGACCCCACCCAGCAUGAGAUGGGGGUGGCCUGCCCAGAUGUCAAUCAACCUGCGGACACCAGACCUCCCCGAGAAGGCUCCGCCCUCGAAGCCUUAUCCCCUGCGGUGUCCCCACUAGAGAAGAAAGAAAAUGCGGGCUCACGCUCUUUUCCAGCGGGGAAGCUGACCCCUGAGGUCGCAGAGCGUCCCUCCCUUGAUUUGAAAAGGACUCUCAGUGUCGCCGCUUUCUGAGCUCAACGUCGUCGCAGCCGGCUCUUCUGAACCAGGUCGCCUCCCCCGCGCGGGUCGUUGGCGAGACCGCCACUAAGAUCCAGCGGUUCUGCCUCUUGGUUUUUCCCCCUCAGAAUGAGAACAGGGUCUUGAACAGCGACGCCCUGCUCUGGGGAGGACAUCGGUCCAGCAGGGGCAGCAGCCCAGGGGUCCACCAGCAGGUGACUACGGAAAUGUAAAGUCUAGACAGGAGUCAGCCUUGAGUGGAAGGAGAUCGGGCGACAGCGUGGGUGAGCCUGGAGGACGUUACUCUGUCUGAGUCAGAUUCUGUCCCCUUGUGAGGAACUUAGAAGACUUAGAGCUGACAGAGACCCAAACUGGAAGGUGGUUGUCUGGGCCCGGGAGGGAGCAGGGGGCGGUGCUGGUUGAUGGGGACGGAGUUUCAGUUCUUCAGGAGGGAAGAGUUCUAGAAAGUGAUGUCCACACCUGAAAAUGGUAAAAGUGGUCAAUUUUAUCUUAUCUGGAUUCGACCACGAUUAAAACUCUUAACUGCAAAAGAUCAACAAUAACAUUUUUCUAUAAGCAACGAUAGCUUUAAGGUAGCGCAGCAUAAACCCAAUAAAAAAUGAGCAAUACUUUAUGAGAAAAUGUGUAAACUUUACUAAAGAGCACAGAAGAAGAGCUCGGUGAACUGAAUGGACAGAGAGCGGUGCCCGGGUGACCUGGUGAUAUUGUGACACAAGAACAUGGGGUCCCCCCAUGGCCACAUGGACGGAUCCAGAAAGCACAUCCUCAGUUCCAACGCGAAGGUGCAGGUUGUGACCACCUUUUAUAUAAAAUUUAUAUAGAAGCACACGCAACAGUGCUGUGUCAUAAAUGUGGGGCACUUACCCCAAGAGGACAACACUACCUGAAAUGUGUAUCCUUUCCAUUUAUUUCAGGACAGUGGUUAUGCCUUGGUGGGGGUGGGAGAAGAGAAGGUGCUAUGGUUUGGCUCUAGAAUGUCUCCCAAGGGUGUUUAAGGCUUGGAACCUUUGAGAGGUGG